rnacentral:tRNA from 1 species
AAGAAAGUAACAUAAUGGGUAAGUGGCUGGCUUGAAACCAACAUAUGGGGGUUCAAUUCCUCCCUUUCUCG